rnacentral:rRNA from 1 species
GGUGGGGAGCAAACAGGAUUAGAUACCUGUAGUCACGCUGUAAACGAUGUCGAUUUGGAGGUUGUUCCGUGAGGAGUGGCUUCCGGAGCUAACGCGUUAAAUCGACCGCUGGGGAGUACGGCCGCAAGGUUAAAACUCAAAUGAAUUGACGGGGGCCCGCACAGCGGUGGAGCAUGUGGUUUAAUUCGAUGCAACGCGAAGAACCUUACCUACUCUUGACAUCCAGAGAAUUUAGCAGAGAUGCUUUAGUGCCUUCGGGAACUCUGAGACAGGUGCUGCAUGGCUGUCGUCAGCUCGUGUUGUGAAAUGUUGGGUUAAGUCCCGCAACGAGCGCAACCCUUAUCCUUUGUUGCCAGCACGUUAUGGUGGGAACUCAAAGGAGACUGCCGGUGAUAAACCGGAGGAAGGUGGGGAUGACGUCAAGUCAUCAUGGCCCUUACGAGUAGGGCUACACACGUGCUACAAUGGCGUAUACAAAGAGAAGCGACCUCGCGAGAGCAAGCGGAACUCAUAAAGUACGUCGUAGUCCGGAUUGGAGUCUGCAACUCGACUCCAUGAAGUCGGAAUCGCUAGUAAUCGUAGAUCAGAAUGCUACGGUGAAUACGUUCCCGGGCCUUGUACACACCGCCCGUCACACCAUGGGAGUGGGUUGCAAAAGAAGUAGGUAGCUUAACCUUCGGGAGGGCGCUUACCACUUUGUGAUUCAUGACUGGGGUGAAGUCGUAACAAGGUAACCA